rnacentral:tRNA from 1 species
GGGCGGUUAGCUCAGCGGUAGAGCGCCUGCCUUACAAGCAGGUAGCCACUGGUUCAAAUCCAGUACCGCCCA